ACAUGCCUACAACAUAUCGUUAAUGCAUAAGAUCCCAUUAGAACUCCGCAAUUAAGCGUGCUUAGGCUAGAGUAGUAUGGGGAUGGGUGACCGCAUGCGAAGUCAUAGAGUUUUACAUGCC
rfam:Picea glauca, whole genome shotgun sequence.